rnacentral:rRNA from 1 species
CCCUUAGAUGUUCUGGGCCGCACGCGCGCUACACUGACGAAUUCAACGAGCUUAUAACCUUGGCCGAAAGGUCUAGGUAAUCUCCAAAAUUCGUCGUGAUGGGGAUAGAUUAUUGCAAUUAUUAAUCUUCAACGAGGAAUGCCUAGUAAGCGCAAGUCAUCAGCUUGCGUUGAUUACGUCCCUGCCCUUUGUACACACCGCCCGUCGCUACUACCGAUUGAACGUUUUAGUGAGGUAUUUGGACUGGACCUUCGGAGGUUCGCGCCUCCGUUGCUGUUCGGGAAGACUCCCAAACUUGAGCGUUUAGAGGAAGUAAAAGUCGUAACA